CACGUAGGGGGCAAGCGUUGUCCGGAAUCAUUGGGCGUAAAGAGCUCGUAGGCGGCUCAGUAAGUCGGGUGUGAAACCUCCAGGCUCAACCUGGAGACGCCACCCGAUACUGCUGUGGCUAGAGUCCAGUAGGGGAGUGUGGAAUUCCCGGUGUAGCGGUGAAAUGCGUAGAUAUCGAGAGGAACACCUGCGGCGAAGGCGGGUUGCUGGGCUGACACUGACGCUGAAGCGCGAAAGCUAGGGGAGCGAACGGG
rnacentral:rRNA from 1 species